rnacentral:siRNA from 1 species
UUCAAGAUGUAUGGUCAAUG